UGGGGAAUCUUGCGCAAUGGACGAAAGUCUGACGCAGCAACGCCGCGUGAGGGAUGAAGGUUUUCUGAAUUGUAAACCUCUUUCGACAGGAACGAUUGUGACGGUACCUGUAGAAGAAGCACCGGCCAACUAUGUGCCAGCAGCCGCGGUGAUACAUAGGGUGCAAGCGUUAUUCGGAUUUAUUGGGCGUAAAGAGCUCGUAGGCGGUUCGAUCAGUCGGGUGUGAAACCCCCAGGCUUAACCUGGGGCAGCCACUCGAAACUGUCGUGACUAGAGUUUGGUAGGGGAUCACGGAAUUCCUGGUGUAGCGGUGGAAUGCGCAGAUAUCAGGAGGAACACCAGCAGCGAAGGCGGUGAUCUGGGCCAAUACUGACGCUGAGGAGCGAAAGCGUGGGGAGCGAACAGG
rnacentral:rRNA from 1 species